rnacentral:rRNA from 1 species
AGUGAACGCUGGCGGUAGGCCUAACACAUGCAAGUCGAACGGCAGCACAGUAAGAGCUUGCUCUUACGGGUGGCGAGUGGCGGACGGGUGAGGAAUACAUCGGAAUCUACUUUUUCGUGGGGGAUAACGUAGGGAAACUUACGCUAAUACCGCAUACGACCUACGGGUGAAAGCAGGGGAUCUUCGGACCUUGCGCGAUUGAAUGAGCCGAUGUCGGAUUAGCUAGUUGGCGGGGUAAAGGCCCACCAAGGCGACGAUCCGUAGCUGGUCUGAGAGGAUGAUCAGCCAAACUGGAACUGAGACACGGUCCAGACUCCUACGGGAGGCAGCAGUGGGGAAUAUUGGACAAUGGGCGCAAGCCUGAUCCAGCCAUACCGCGUGGGUGAAGAGGGCCUUCGGGUUGUAAAGCCCUUUUGUUGGGAAAGAAAAGCAGCAGGUUAACACCCCGCUGUUCUGACGGUACCCAAAGAAUAAGCACCGGCUAACUUCGUG